rnacentral:rRNA from 1 species
AUGCUGAAAUCGAUGAGGAUCAUACUAGCUAUAGCUGCAUAUUUUGAUUACGAGAUAUGGCAGAUGGAUGUCAAAACGGCUUUCCUUCACGGAAAUUUAACUGAGGACGUGUAUAUGAUACAGCCCGAGGGUUUUGUCGAUCCGACUAGCACUAGUAAGGUAUGCAAGCUCAAGAGAUCCAUUUAUGGGUUGAAGCAAGCAUCUCGGAGUUGGAACAUUCGUUUUGAUGAGGUCGUCACUGGUCUCGGUUUCAUCAAAAGAGAAGAGGACUCUUGUUUGUACAAGAAGUUAAGUGGGAGCUCGAUAGUGUUUUUGAUCUUGUAUGUGGAUGACAUACUACUGGUCGGGAACAAUGUUUCGAUGCUGAACUCGGUCAAGGGAUCAUUGAAUGGCAAGUUUUCGAUGAAAGACCUUGGUGAAGCAGUGUAUAUUUUAGGCAUUAAGAUCUAUAGAGAUAGAUCGAGGAGGCUGCUCGGUUUAAGCCAGAGCACGUACAUAGAUAAAGUGUUGAAGCAGUUCAACAUGAGUGAGGCGAAGAAAGGGUUCUUGCCGCUCUCACAUGGUAUAAGGCUAAGCGAGACUCAGAGUCCUUCGACAUCUGAUGAGCGAAGCAGGAUGAGUAGGAUUCCGUAUGCCUCGGCAAUCGGAUCCAUCAUGUAUGCCAUGAUAUGUACAAGGCCUGGUGUUGCUUUUUCAAUAAGCAUAACAAGUAGAUACCAGGAAAACCCAGGUGAGAGUCACUGGGCAGCGGUAAAGACUAUUUUGAAGUAUCUGAAAAGGACUAAAGAGAUGUUCCUAGUUUAUGGAGGUGGGGAAGGGCUCGUCGUAAGGGGUUACGCCGAUGCUAGUUUCCAAACCGACAGAGAUGAUUGUCGAUCACAGUCCGGAUUCGAGUACGUCCUGAACGGAGGAGCAGUGCACUGGAUGAGUUCCAAGCAGGAUACGUUGGCCGAUUCUACCACAGAAGCCGAAUACAUUGCGGCUUGUGAAGAUGCAAAGGAAGGUGUUUGGAUCCGGCAUUUUCUGGAUGAUCUUGCUAUUUUCCCAGCCUCGGUGAAACCGUUGGACCUUUAUUGUGAUAAUUCUGGUGCCAGCACACAAGCCAAGGAGCCGAGGAAUCACCACAAGGUCAGACAUAUAGAUCGGAAAUAUCACCUGAUACGAAAGAUCGUAAAGAAUGGUGAUGUAGAGUUAUGUAAGAUUCACACGGAUGCAAAUGUUGCAGAUCCGUUGACUAAGCCGCUUCCACAACCCAAGCAUGAGGGGCACGUUAGAGCUAUGUGCAUUUGA